rnacentral:tRNA from 2 species
CUAUGUCUGGGUGAUGGGCCGCACCGACGACAUCAUCAAUGUCGCCGGCCACCGGCUCUCCACCGGCGGCAUGGA